rnacentral:snRNA from 1 species
AUACCUUUCUCGGCCUUUUGGCUAAGAUCAAGUGUAGUAUCUGUUCUUAUCAGUUUAAUGUCUGAUAUGUGGGCUAUGUGCCUACUUUGAUAUUAAAUUAAUUUAUUUUGGGGAAGGGUACUGGCUUGCCAUUGGGGCCCUUGAGUGUUGCCUUGGCGUUGCACUAUACCCUCGGUCUGACACACCCCAACCAAAUCGAACACAAACUUUUUGA